GUAGGGAAUAUUGGACAAUGGGCGCAAGCCUGAUCCAGCCAUGCCGCGUGAGUGAAGAAGGCCCUCGGGUUGUAAAGCUCUUUUGUCCGGAAAGAAAAGCAUCGGGUUAAUACCCCGGUGUUCUGACGGUACCGGAAGAAUAAGCACCGGCUAACUUCGUGCCAGCAGCCGCGGUAAUACGAAGGGUGCAAGCGUUACUCGGAAUUACUGGGCGUAAAGCGUGCGUAGGUGGUUCGUUAAGUCUGAUGUGAAAGCCCUGGGCUCAACCUGGGAAUGGCAUUGGAAACUGGCGGACUGGAGUGCGGUAGAGNGUAGCGGAAUUCCCGGUGUAGCAGUGAAAUGCGUAGAGAUCGGGAGGAACAUCCGUGGCGAAGGCGGCUACCUGGACCAGCACUGACACUGAGGCACGAAAGCGUGGGGAGCAAACA
rnacentral:rRNA from 1 species